UGGAGAUAAAGAAGCUUGAGGAUUACAAAAGAGGAGAGGUGGGGGUGUAUGAGGAAUAGAGAUUCUAGUUUAUAUAUCAUGGGUCAUAUAAAGAGGUCCAUUCACACCCACUUCCAUUCCAAAAGGGGGGGGGGGGGGGGGUCUAAAGGGUGUUUUUGAAGAAGUGGAGGAUGUGAUUUUUCAUUAGGGGAAUAAUAUUAGAGAAGGAUCUUCUAUCUUCUCUAUGGUACAAUUGCACACCCAAUGCCUUACAACAGGGGAUCCAUGAGGAUAUGUUGUUGCUUUGAGAAGUAUAAAAUGCGACCCUCGAUUCAAAUUUUCUUCUUUUUUCCCCCACUAUGACAGCUAUUCAUUUUCUCAUUUUCAGCAUGUGAGAUUCCUCCACAUUUUUAUACAAUAUACGUGGUCUUCUUUUGUGUCUCUGGCAUGCUCGUCCUCUUGAUACUUACUAGUUGAUGUGAGACAUUAUGGCACAGGUUUGUGGUCUGAGGUGAAAGUCCGAAAUAUUAAUUUGUGCUUCUGGUGUUGUUUAGAGCCACUUCAAUGCAUGACGUUACCAACUCAAACGGCUCAUUUUAAAAAGGAAUUUUUGUCGUCCGAUCACAAACAGAUGAGUUUCACUGGAGAUAAGACAGGCCUGGACAAUGAUUUUUUUUUCUUUCAAGAGAGAAAAAUAUAUCUCUAUUAUAAUAUUAAUAAUAAUAAUUAAAAUUCAAAAUGGGUGUCCCGAGGAGAUAAAUACUUAUUUUUUCUUCCAUGCAUAGAGUCCAUGUUUAAUAUACACAUGCACGUUGAAAAAAGAAUUUUUUGUCUUUACAAGUAUGUUUGGUUGGACAGAAAAUAAAAAGAAAAAAAAACACAUAAUUAAAUGAUGAAGUAUUUUUUCCAUUUAGUUAGAGAGAAAGGAAAAGGAAAAGAAAGG
rnacentral:lncRNA from 1 species